rnacentral:rRNA from 1 species
AGAGUUUGAUCCUGGCUCAGAAUGAACGCUGGCGGCGUGCUUAACACAUGCAAGUCGAACGAGAAAGGGAUUGCUUGCAAUCCUGAGUAGAGUGGCGCACGGGUGAGUAACACGUAGAUAAUCUACCUUUGAACCUGGGAUAACUAAUCGAAAGGUUAGCUAAUACCGGAUGAAGUUAAUCGGCAUAAGUUGAUUGAUGAAAGACUGCCUAUCCUUGGAAGCAGUUGUUUGGAGAUGAGUUUGCGGACCAUUAGCUAGUUGGUGGGGUAAAGGCCUACCAAGGCGAUGAUGGGUAGCUGGUCUGAGAGGACGAUCAGCCACACUGGAACUGAGACACGGUCCAGACUCCUACGGGAGGCAGCAGUGGGGAAUAUUGCGCAAUGGGCGAAAGCCUGACGCAGCAACGCCGCGUGGGGGAUGAAGGUUCUCGGAUUGUAAACCCCUUUCGAUCGGAACGAAUCCCCUCCUGGUAAAUAAUCAGGAGGAUCGACGGUACCGGGAGAAGAAGCCACGGCUAACUCUGUGCCAGCAGCCGCGGUAAGACAGAGGUGGCGAGCGUUGUUCGGAUUUAUUGGGCGUAAAGCGAACGCAGGUGGUUUGGUAAGUCAGGGGUGAAAGACCACAGCUUAACUGUGGCACUGCCUUUGAUACUGCCUUUCUAGAGUGCAUGAGGGGGAAGCGGAAUUCCGAGUGUAGAGGUGAAAUUCGUAGAUAUUCGGAGGAACACCGGUGGCGAAGGCGGCUUCCUGGCAUGUAACUGACACUCAUGUUCGAAAGCGUGGGUAGCAAACAGGAUUAGAUACCCUGGUAGUCC